GUGGAAAUUAACUUGUAAUAUGAGGUAUUUGAAAGUAAAAUGGUUUAAGAACACACUCUUAUGGGUUUUAUUUCCUUGUAGGUAUUAUUUUUUAUCCAGUCAAAAAUGUUGAAAUAUCACUUGUCACUGUACAAAUAACAGGAAGUAGUUCAAUAUAGUUUCUCCAUAUUUACUCUCUGUGGUUUUGAGCAAGACUUUUGAGAAGCUUUCAGAAGAUAUGCUGCAGAGAGUCGGUGAGGGCGGCUCAUUGUCUAUAACGAUGAACAUAAUAAUUGCUCUUCUGUGUGAGUACACUAACAGAUAACAUCUAUGUCUUUCAGUCAAACUGUUUUCUGUCUAUUUAAGCUGACAGGAUUCAUUUAAUUUUUCACUUCUUUUCUUCAAGGUAUUCUGACAAAUCAGGUCAUAAGCCAAGAUAUUUUUCCUGCAAGGAUCCUGGCCCAGCAGACAAUUAUAAGUGAAAACAGUGAACUUUAUGUAACAUGCAGCACAUUUGGAAAAAAGAAAGACUCCAAGGUUUAUGUUUAUUUGUUAAUAAAUGGGCGCAGAAUCCAGACUGAGCCCCAGAAGCAAGAUCAAAAUGACAUCCUGUUCAAGAUAUUCAGAGCUGGUCUUCAUCACAGUGGAAAUUACAGCUGUGUUUAUUCCCCCCAAAAUUAUACACUUUCUGAAGUAGUCAAGGAAGGAGACAACAUCAUUGAGAUUCUGGUCAUAGCCAAUUUUCUCCCAGCAGAUAUUUCAAUAGUUGGGCCAUCCACUGUUCACGAGGGACAUCAUGUUGAAUUCCAGUGCACAGUGUCUCAACACCUACAUACACUUGGUGGAUGUGAACUUAUCUACGCUUACCUGAGGAAGAACGACACGAUUCUCCAAGUGCAAGUCUUUAAUGUGUCUCAGAUGCUGGCAACUUUCAUCAUUGAUGGUGCAGUUUUGAGGGAUUCAGGUCCUUACAGCUGCAUAGUGUUGCCAUCUAAAUGCUUCUAUAAGCACGAGUACACAGUUCAUGGAACAAACAAUUUAUUUCUUGAGGUCAAAGGUAAGGGUCUCUGAAUGUUUCAAAAACGCUUUAAAUAGACUUAUUUUUAUAAUAAUGCAUUAUUUUUAUACUGAAAUAUAUUUUGAAAUAUAGGUAAUCAUGUCUUAUUUUACUUUCCAGUGGAUUUGGUGUCUACAGUGUUACUCCAUGGUGGAGUAAUAACCUUGAUGCUGUCACUAGGGGCGUGUCUUUGGUGGAUUUCAAACAAACUAGGUCAAAUAAGUAUAAUUAAAAAUAAUUUUAGGCUUCACAUUUUUUUCACAAGUCAUUGUAUAUUGUAUGGAUUAAUCAAACCAACCACAUAAUAUAGCUGAAUAUACCUGCAUGCUAUAUUUUGCUCUAAAAUUAUAUUUGUUUUGUGUUUCAACAGUUCGCUCAACUUCUUG
rnacentral:lncRNA from 1 species